CACUGGGACUUGAGUACCCCCGAGGACUCAGCCAGAGGGGUGAGCUAGCAUGUGUUUAUGUCCUGGCAAUCAUAUGGCUUAAAGUGACUGAGCUACAUCUAUGUGCAUUCAACUGAUCAGCAGACAAUGAAGUAAAUACAUCAAACUGUGAAAA